AGAAAGAGAAAGAGAAAAAAGCCUCCCUUUGAAAGAGGAUUUUGAAGCAUCCAAGAGAAGGAAGCUUAAGAGGGAGCAACAGGUUUCAUCUGCAGAGCCAGGGGAAUAUUCUCCCAUGCCACCACAUCAAUCCUCUUUAUCGACUGGUAUGGGACCAUCAUCGUACGAAGGCAGAGAGCGAAAGAGCAGUAGUAUGAUUCAACACGGAGGUUAUCUUGAAGAGCCAAGCAUCAGACUUGUUGGAAAAGAAGCUUCCAGCAAGAUGGCUCGCCGUGAUCCCGAACCAAUGUAUGACCGUGAAUGGGAAGAGGAGAAGAGGCAGAGAGCAGAACGGAAGCGGAGAGAUCGGAAGUAGGUAGACAGUGAUGAACUCGCAUAUACUUGGGUUUGUUCAAUGAAGAGAGAGACAAAUGGCUGGUACUGAACACUGCAUUUUCUGUACACGUACUGUUAACCAUUCCAUGGCUAUGCGGUCUACUUUGUCUUGUGGCUCAGCCGAGUUUGACAAUGACUUUGCAAGACUUGAGAUAUGCUCAUACCAAAUUCGCAAUUUUAUUUUUCAGAUUUUUGUAUGGAGAAGCUUGUAAAACUAUAGCUAGCGAGGGAAAUUGAUAGUGUAACAACAUAUCAAAUUUUGUUUUAGCGUUUUCUCAAUUGUUAUAAAACAGUGGGGAAAAAACUUCCGAGUGAAUGAAUA